ACCCUACGGGGCGCAGCAGUAGGGAAUCUUCCACAAUGGACGAAAGUCUGAUGGAGCAACGCCGCGUGAGUGAAGAAGGGUUUCGGCUCGUAAAGCUCUGGUGGUAGUGAAGAAAGAUAGAGGUAGUAACUGGCCUUUAUUUGACGGUAAUUACUUAGAAAGUCAAGGCUAACUACGUGCCAGCAGCCGCGGUAAUACGUAGGGGGCAAGCGUUGUCUGGAUUUAUUGGGCGUAAAGCGAGUGCAGGCGGAUGCAAA
rnacentral:rRNA from 1 species